AAUAGAUACCCGGGUAGUCCACGCCGUAAACGAUGAGUGCUAAGUGUUAGAGGGUUUCCACCCUUUAGUGCUGCAGCUAACGCAUUAAGCACUCCGCCUGGGGAGUACGGUCGCAAGACUGAAACUCAAAGGAAUUGACGGGGGCCCGCACAAGCGGUGGAGCAUGUGGUUUAAUUCGAAGCAACGCGAAGAACCUUACCAGGUCUUGACAUCCCACUGACCGGUAUAGAGAUAUACCUUUCCCUUCGGGGACAGUGGUGACAGGUGGUGCAUGGUUGUCGUCAGCUCGUGUCGUGAGAUGUUGGGUUAAGUCCCGCAACGAGCGCAACCCUUGAUCUUAGUUGCCAGCAUUUAGUUGGGCACUCUAAGGUGACUGCCGGUGACAAACCGGAGGAAGGUGGGGAUGACGUCAAAUCAUCAUGCCCCUUAUGACCUGGGCUACACACGUGCUACAAUGGAUGGUACAAAGGGCUGCAAGACUGCGAAGUCAAGCCAAUCCCAUAAAACCAUUCUCAGUUCGGAUUGCAGG
rnacentral:rRNA from 1 species